rnacentral:lncRNA from 1 species
UUGUGCCUUUUCAGCUCCACAUUCUUCCAUGGACAGGGACCCCCAUGUCCAGCUCCUUACUUGUGAAGCAGGGGGAAUACACUCAAUGGGGCUCUGAGGAUGCCUGGCGCUCUCCAAGGUCUCAUCUUCCCUGAGCUGCCUUUCUGCAGACUGAGAGAGAAGGUCUGAAUGGCUAAACAUUCCAAGUUCUUUAAGGGGCUCCUUGCCAGCACAAGACAGUCACCAGAUCCAGCAGAGCCAAGAAUGUACUAAAAAGCACUUGUCAGCAGCUGUUCCCAGCACUCCUCCCCAGCUCGGCUCAGUGUUUUCUGUUUCAAGAAAGGAGAAGGGCGAACGACUCCGGCUGGAGUGGGUGCUUCAAGUUCUUGGUCAUGAACCCGCUGCUAAUGAUGGGAUCCCCGACUGGAGCUAGAAAGGCUCUUGGAAGUCACCUGAUUUGACUCAUUUUCCAGACAAGAAGCCCAAGGGAUGGACUCGCCUGGCCAGGGCGGCCCUAUCACCCUGAUGGUCCGUGUCACAUCGCAUAUGGGCACAUCAUUAACCAUGUUCUCUCUAACUACUCAGCUUUGAUGAAUACCAAGUUGCUGCCACAAUGGAGUCCUUGCAAUCUCUCCUCCAGGGCAGGCCGUGUUCGGGCUUUUGGUCUUUGUACCCCCCACAUCUACGGGCACACAGCAGAUGCUUCAUAAGUUUUUGUCUAAUUAAAUUCAAAUAAAAAUUCAUGAGGGCUGAUUUGUACCUUUAAG